rfam:Prunus persica cultivar Lovell chromosome G1, whole genome shotgun sequence.
AAACCAUAGUGAGGACAUUGUAUUAAAAAAUUAUUGAACCGUUCCCAAGUUUCAAAAAAUAACUCAUCUGUAUGUUGACUGAAUCGCAUGAUUCUAUCCCUUAGUGC